rnacentral:tRNA from 1 species
GCUACUGUAGCUCUGUUGGUAGAGCAUGAGACUCAUAAUCUCAGGAUAGUGGUU